rnacentral:rRNA from 1 species
UUAAGUCUCUUAGGAGGCUUUGCGAAAGGCUCAGUAACACGUCGCCAAACUGCCCUAUGGACAGGGAUAACCUCGGGAAACUGAGACUAAUCCCUGAUAGGUAUGGAAUCCUGGAAGGGGCCAAUACCAAAAUGGGCUUCGGUUCGCCAUAGGAUGUGGCCGCGGCCGAUUAGCUAGUAAGUGAUGUAAAGGAUCACUUAGGCGAUGAUCGGUAGGGGUUAUGAGAGUAAGCGCCCCGAGAAGGACACUGAGACACUGGUCCUAGCACUACGGUGUGCAGCAGUUAGGAAUUGUGCCCAAUGCGCGAAAGCGUGAGACCGCGAAUCUGAGUGCCAAGGAGAACCUUGGCUGUGAUGGAGUGUUCAUAGCUCCAACAGCAAGCAGAGGGCAAGGCUGGUGCCAGCCGCCGCGGUAAAACCAGCUCUGCGAGUGCCUAGCGCGAUUAUUGGGCUUAAAGCAUCCGUAGCCGGAUAAGUAGGUCUCUGGUUAAAUCUGCAAGCUUAACUUGUAGGCUGUCAGAGAUACCGCUAAUCUAGGGAAUAGGAGAGGUGAACGGUACUGCGAGAGAAGCGGUGAAAUGCGUUGAUUCUCGCAGGACCCACAGUGGCGAAGGCGGUUCACUGGAAUAUCUCCGACGGUGAUGGAUNAAAGCCAGGGGAGCGAAAGGGAUUAGAGACCCCUGUAGUCCUGGCCGUAAACGAUGAGGAUUAGGUGUUGGCCAUGGCUAAGGGCCUGGUCAGUGCCAAAGGAAACUAUUAAUCCUCCCC